GAGGGUAUAGCUCAGUGGUAGAGUGCAUGCUUACCACUUGAACGAGGUCCUGGGUUCAAUCCCCAGUACCUCCA
rfam:Camelus ferus unplaced genomic scaffold scaffold875, whole genome shotgun sequence.